CUACAAGUCAAUAAAUGCUGGACAUUCUGUGGAGAAAAUGGACCCUUUAACACAGUUGGGGGGAAUGCAAACCAGUGCAGCCGCUAUGGAGAACAGUGUGGAGAUUCCUUAAAAAACUGGAAAUAGAACUCUCAUAAGACCCAGCAAUCUCACUGCUGGGCAUACACACCAAGGAAACCAGAAUUGAAAGAGACACGUG